rnacentral:rRNA from 1 species
GACGAACGCUGGCGGCGUGCUUAACACAUGCAAGUCGAACGGAAAGGCCCUGCUUUGGUGGGGUGCUCGAGUGGCGAACGGGUGAGUAACACGUGAGUAACCUGCCCUUGACUUUGGGAUAACUUCAGGAAACUUGGUCUAAUACCGGAUAGGAGCUCCUGCUGCAGGGUGGGGGUUGGAAAGUUUCGGCGGUUGGGGAUGGACUCGCGGCUUAUCAGCUUGUUGGUGGGGUAGUGGCUUACCAAGGCUUUGACGGGUAGCCGGCCUGAGAGGGUGACCGGCCACAUUGGGACUGAGAUACGGCCCAGACUCCUACGGGAGGCAGCAGUGGGGAAUAUUGCACAAUGGGCGGAAGCCUGAUGCAGCAACGCCGCGUGCGGGAUGACGGCCUUCGGGUUGUAAACCGCUUUCGCCUGUGACGAAGCGUGAGUGACGGUAAUGGGUAAAGAAGCACCGGCUAACUACGUG